AUACGGAGGAUCCGAGCGUUAUCCGGAUUUAUUGGGUUUAAAGGGUGCGCAGGCGGCCAUUUAAGUCAGCGGUUAAAUCGUGGGGCUCAACCCCAUUCUGCCGUUGAUACUGGGUGGCUUGAUUGCGGUCGAGGUUGGCGGAAUUCGUUGUGUAGCGGUGAAAUGCAUAGAUAUGACGAAGAACACCGAUUGCGUAGGCAGCUGACCAGACCGCAAAUGACGCUCAUGCACGAAAGUGCGGUGAUCGAACAGGAUUAGAUACCCUGGUAGUCCGCACAGUAAACGAUGAUAACUAGUUGUUGGCGAUAAACAGAUCAGUAACUGAGCGAAAGCGUUAAGUUAUCCACCUGGGGAGUACGACCGCAAGGUUGAAACUCAAAUGAAUUGACGGGG
rnacentral:rRNA from 1 species